rnacentral:lncRNA from 1 species
GUGGAUUCAAGAGUUCUAGAUCUUUUAGAUAAUUUAUCUUUAUAAUUGAUUAGUUUAUUAUUUUGGUAGUUCGUAAUUCAACAAACAAUCUCUUUCCUUUUUCUCUAAAGCUCACCUGAGCAAGCAUUUAAAUAUAAUUUAAAAUCUAAUUUCUCGUAGGAUCAACUCGUACUCGUCGGACGUGCUACAUUGCACACCGUGCGCUUAUGCUAAAUUUAAGAUACAUCAAUCACCUAUAUAGGGAAUCAAGUGCUUUACAUUAAACACAUCAAAGAUAUGAAGAUGACUAGCCAGCUUUAACUAAUAAGCAUUAUUGUUGAUGUUGGAUUUUAGGUAUUUUGCAUGCAAAUUUCAAAAUAAUUUUGAAUUUAAGUAGUAGAAGACAAGAUUAAAUCAGAUUUAAUCCUACGAAUGUAUUGAUCUAAAUCAAAUACCUAUGGAUCUAGUUCAUAUAAUGAUAAAUAAAACAUAAAGUAUCUGAUUUCAGAGAAUAAAAAUAAAUAUGUAAUCAGAUCACAUACGUGAAUCUCAGAACUUCUCGAAUCUGGAUCUGUGGAUGCCUUCAGAUUUUGAUGUAGCCGUGUAUAUACCCAACCUCUACGGAUAUCCACAUGAGGUCUGAUCUGAUCGAAGGCUCUUUGAUCUCUUCGGGGUGCUAGCUCCAUUGCAGAGAUUGCUUCUUUAAUGGUUGAAAAGGACCUUCUUUAAUCUCCAAGACUAUCUCAAAAAAGAAAAAGAUGGGAGGAAAACCUAGAAGAGGAGAGAGAACCCUUCUCUCCUCCCUUUUUUGAAACCUGUUGUGCAAAAAUCUGCUUGCGUCGGAGAAGCUGGAGUCGAGGAAGUCACGAUCGCCGUCG